rnacentral:rRNA from 1 species
GGGGCUAGCGUUGCUCGGAAUCACUGGGCGUAAAGCGCACGUAGGCGGCUUUUUCAGUCAGGGGUGAAAUCCUGGAGCUCAACUCCAGAACUGCCUUUGAUACUGAGGAGCUCGAGUCCGGGAGAGGUGAGUGGAACUGCGAGUGUAGAGGUGAAAUUCGUAGAUAUUCGCAAGAACACCAGUGGCGAAGGCGGCUCACUGGCCCGGUACUGACGCUGAGGUGCGAAAGCGUGGGGAGCAAACAGG